GACGAACGCUGGCGGCGUGCUUAACACAUGCAAGUCGAACGGUGAUGCUCCAGCUUGCUGGAGUGGAUCAGUGGCGAACGGGUGAGUAACACGUGAGCAACCUGCCCCAGACUCUGGAAUAAGCGCUGGAAACGGCGUCUAAUACUGGAUACGAAACUGGCCCGCAUGGGCAUGGUUUGGAAAGUUUUUCGGUUUGGGAUGGGCUCGCGGCCUAUCAGCUUGUUGGUGAGGUAAUGGCUCACCAAGGCGACGACGGGUAGCCGGCCUGAGAGGGCGACCGGCCACACUGGGACUGAGACACGGCCCAGACUCCUACGGGAGGCAGCAGUGGGGAAUAUUGCACAAUGGGCGAAAGCCUGAUGCAGCGACGCCGCGUGAGGGAUGACGGCCUUCGGGUUGUAAACCUCUUUCAGCAGGGAAGAAGCGAAAGUGACGGUACCUGCAGAAGAAGCACCGGCUAACUACGUGC
rnacentral:rRNA from 1 species